CAUCAGCAAUGUAUCCAAAUCAGUUCGCACUAAAACAUACUCCAAAAAAUCAGAGUUUCCAUGCACCAACGUGUAAAGUAAUAGGGCAGCAGUUUCAUCACCCAAGCACAUGCCAAGAGUAUCAAAUAGAGAUGCAAAUGGUAAUCUCACAAGUGACCCAUUGUGUGCAUUCCCCUCAAUAUCUACACGAUCAAGUUCAAUAUCCCUUGCACUUUCUAAUGCUUUGCAGUAAGGAUUGUCAGAGAAAUAUGUAUUUACUUUGGGAAGAGAUUCUGAAGCAGCACUAUCAUCACUUCUGUCCGUUACAGGCUCAUCACCCACAAUGCAUUUAUGAUAAUAAUUAAGUAUAAGCAAGACAUGAAGGCUACAGUCGGCCAAUGGAUUUCUUAUGCCUUCAACAUUUGAACUGACCAAAUAAUUGAAUGGCAGUAACACAAAAGUAGCAGCUGCAGAACCAACUCUUUGCAAAACUCCUGGCUGACUCCCUUCAGAAAAUACAGGAUAAGAUGUACUGUUCAAUGGAAUGCGAGGCCGCAUUAUAUAAUUGAGUAGCAGUCUGCGAACAACCAAACUCACCAAAGAACUUUCCUGAGCCAUUGCUGCAUCAAUAAAAAGAUUCAUAUCUGUUGGUCCUGGGGAUGGACCAUAAAGAAGUUGGGAUGACAUUGCAAUAAGCAUGAAGCUAAGCAACUCCUGAUGUAGGAGGUAUGUGUUCGCACUUACAUCUACAGAACCAAUAAAGCUAAGCACACUAUGCAUGACAAGAUUCUCAAUGUUUAUAUCUCUUAUGAAACCAUCUGGUACUGGUUCGCUUUCAUCCAAUGACAGACACAAGUCCUCAAUGUUUUUGCUUUGGGCAUUUUCAAUUAAGUACUUCAAGAAAACAGAUGAAAUGUACACUGCAUUGAUGGCCUUCGUAUAAACUGGGGAUGGUGCACCAGAAGUUGAAAUGGACUCUUGCAAACAUUGCGUUAGGUGAAUCAAAAUCUUUGCAAGAUGCCUAGUAUAACAGUUGUUUUGUGCAAAGCGCUGGCAGGCUUCCUGGACGCGGUCGGUGGGCCAACGGAGAUUGAGAGGGAGUUCCAGAAGUUUCUGCCAGAAAUCUGAGGCAAGCGGGAAAGAUUUUUCGCCGACAAAUGAACCAAUUAAAUACUCCGCCGUGUCUUGUGGGCGUGCGCUGCCCCGUCGCGGCGUUGAAGGCACUGCUCCCAUUGGAAUUCGAAGCGCUUGACUCGUUGGUUCAGUGCGCGGGUCAACUGUGCUCAGAGACCGAUUCAGGAGAUCUUAACCAGCAUUACAGAGAAAGAUAGAAAGAGUUACAGUUUUGGAUCUGUUCGGCUUUCGGGAGAUAAUGAAAAUGGAAACGGAGUUCUGCUCGUGAUGAAGGAAAUAG
rnacentral:misc_RNA from 1 species